UUCAUCCGGCCUCACAUUUUAUUAUCUUAAUAUCCCAUCUGGCAGGUCAAUAUUUCCUCAACGCUGUAUAGAAAUUUCAACCUGGAUGUGGUGGGUCACCUUCUUGAUAUGCUACAAUCUACGUUGUAAAUUGCUUCCACGGUGCUGUUAGACAGGAAGAUCUAGGGUUUUACAUAGUGUCGAUGAAGAUAAAUAACUAUAUAUCUUCAGGCUGAUUUGUAUGUCAUUUGGAACAGAAUUUAAUGAUGUUUCUGAGCACGUUCUAAGUCAUGAGUUUGGUGGUGCUGUCAAAGAAAUUCCUAGCCUAGACCCGAAACGUCAACUUUUGUUCUCCUAAGAUGCUGCUUGGCCUGCUGUGUUCAUCCAGCGCCACACUUUGUUAUCACGGAUUCUCCAGCAUCUGCAGUUCCCAUUAUCUCAGGUGAAUAAUAUUAUAUUGUACUUCCGACACGAAGGAUGAGGUGGGAUCCAAUUGAAACUUACAAAAUGCUGAAUGGCCUGGACAGAGUGGAUGUUGGGAAGAUGCUUCCAUUCGUAGAAGAGACGAGGACCCGAGGGCACAGCCUUAGAGUAAGGCGAACACCGUUUAGAACGGAGGAUGAGAGCGUCAUUGGCCAGGCAGCAUUUAUUGUCCAUCUCUAAUUACCCAGCGGGCAGUUGAGAGUCAACCACAUUGCUGCAGGUCUGGAGUCACAUGUAGGCCAGACCAGGGCAACACUGCAGCGAAUUUGCAUUACUACCCAUGAUCGGCUAACAGCUGCAACACAAAGAUAAUUAUUUGAAAGUAUUUAAAUGAUAUCGGUUGAGCAUGCGAUAGUAGCCAGAAAACCAUGAGAAUUUCCCCUGCUCUUCUUUAAAUAAUCCAGAGCCUUGGUUUGACAUUUUAUCUGGAGGAUGACUCCCUGCUAUAAGGGCAGCGAGAAUCAUCCAGAUUUUGUGCUUAAGUCUCUGGAAUGGGAAUUGAGCCUAUGUGUUCUGAUUUUAGGGAUGUGUGUGCUAUGACUGAGGUAAGGCCAACAUUUUUCUGAAGGGUCUCGACCCGAAACGUCAAAUCUUCCUGCUCCUCUGUUGCUGCUUGGUCUGCUGUGUUCAUCCAGCUUCACAUCGUGUUACCUCAGACUCUCCAGCAUCGGCAGUUCGUACUAUCUCUAAGGUCAACAUAUUUGUAUUUUGUAUUGCUAGAAAAUGACAAGAACCUGUAUUUUUUUAAAGCUCUUAAUUAAGCUUCGAAAUACAGUUCUCAUUUUUUAAAUUUAUGCUUUGUGUGAACAUUU